CUCUAACCAAUCAAAUUGCACUAUUUAUGGCUAUAAGAACAUGCUCUAACAUUACAUAGAUAGUUUGUCUUCUAAACCUAUAUAGAUCUGCAACAAUGUCCCUACUUCCAUCUAUAGGUGAAAUAUCUCAACAGCACAAACGUCGAAAAUUACAGACCUCUUCCCUUCUCUCUUUUUACGAAUCACUGGCUUCGAUCGACCUCAACACAUGGAGCACACUUGAUAAGUUGAGCAGAGAAGUGAAAGAAUCUUGGUUGGUAGCUAGGUUUGGGUUUGUACUUGUGAAUGAGGUGUGCCUUUUACUGCGUUCGAUCUCUGGCAAUGUUACUGAUUCCGAAAAAAAAUAUCUUGUGUAACUGUGACCUCUCUCUACCUGGUGUCCAACAGGAAAGUAUAGAAAUGGUGGCUGAAUUUGUCAAUAACCACUGCCCACACCUUGUACGAUCUACUCCGAAUAACUACCCUCCAUUGUUGACUCCACCCACAAACACCUGUUUUGACUGUGACCGACCAUUGGUGUCUAAUCAUUCUUGCCAUGUGAGUUUUUUAUUGGCUAAACUAUUAUUUUUAUCCUAAACAAUAUUUUCAGAUAAAGUGUUACUCUCUGAUCGAAUGGUUUUGUUAGAGGAAGAAAGUGUACGCUAAGGUGUAAAGUUUGCAACAUAACUUAUAACUAUGCUCACUUUGGAAACAAGUCUGAGAAUGGAUUCCGUAUGUACCCCCAAACUCAAACAUAUGUUGAAGUGUCUGACACCAUUUAUUUUUCGUUGGAGUGGCAGUGUAGCCUUGCUAAUCACUCUUGGGUUUCCUUUCAAGGGUUUGCUGAAAGUUACAAUACUGCUUUAGAGAUACCACCAGAUGAAGAGCUUAGUCCCUAUAUUGUUGGGGAAGCCUUCUAUAAUGGAGAAGUGGAGAAUGAGUUGAGACGAGUCAAUAAGAUCGACUAUCGUUUCCAUAAAGACAGUGAGAGAGAGGAGUGUAUGGAAAGGAUUGAAGAAGUAAGGCGGCAAUCUCUAUAUACCACCACAAAGAAGACACGUGUACUGCUGAAUGCAAGAAAAGAGGUUGUGGUCAACUGUGGGUUACAGAUGGAAUUUGGAAGACUGUUUUCCCACACUGCAUGUUCAAAGUUGAGCAAAUCAGUGAUGGAAUUCCAGCUCUCAAUUUACCUGAUGUGUGUACAAACUCCCCAAUUCACAAUAAGGCGUUUUGC